GCCCCCGCAGCCCUCCCUCGCUGCCCGCUGUGCGUGUGGAAGCUGCCAUCACGGGGCCCCGCGGCCGGACCGCGGCACCGAGCAGCGCUCGGGCUCCGUGCGGGACAGCGGCGCUCAGGCCGGCAGCUGCCACCCGAUCCCCUCCGCGGUGACCUCCACCCCGAGCCCCUGCGGGCCGCCACCGCCCCGUGCGAAACCGGACUCCGGCCGGGGUCAGCCCCGCGGGGAGGCCAGGGAUGAGCAGCGGCCUCCCUGCGAAGCGCUCCCGUCCCUGCGAGCCCGGCCCCGCCUCGGACCCUGAUCUGGGAGCAGAUGGGAGGGUUUAAGCUGAGCGGGGAGCCCAGGAGGCAGCGUGGUCCCGGCUCCUCUACAGGAGCAUCCGGUACCUGGCCGGUUGGGCUCAGCAGCCUGGAGGCUCCAGGCUCUGCCCUGCACGGGCUGGCCGGGGCAAUCUGCCCCCUCCAGCGGGGCUGGCGGCUCCCCUGGGGCCGGGGAAGCUGCCCCCGCCUCGCUGCUCCGCAGGGAAGCCUCCCUUUUCGGAGCGGGGUGCACGGAGCAGGCCAUCGGGCAGGGAGCACGGGAGCAGCAGCGGGAUGGGAGGGAGCGCCGACUGCUUCCCCAUCUGCUGUGCUCACCAACAGAUAAAGCGCUGCCCUGGCCUUCGCGCGAGGGGCUGAUACCAGCCGAAUUCAGCUUCCUGAAAUUUUUGUUCUGCAGACGAUGAUCAGCAGCAGCAGGGAGCGGAUGGAGGAGAAAGCAGCUGGCACCUACAGAGGCCAGAAACCACGACAGCGAGGGAGGAAACCCUGCCAGAGACAUCCCCGACCGGGGCUCCAGAGAUGGAACCUCCGGUCCAUCCCCCGGGCAGCCGCGGCACCACCAGCAGCACCCCCACCGCUGCCAUUGCUCCUGCUCAGGCUUCAGCACCAAACCAGACUUUUUAUUUCAAUAUGGACUCUUACAACUUUUGAUCAAGAAACUGUUCCUGGUACUUCUCAUCUCUGGGAAGUCAGCCCUUGAUUGGCUUCUAUAUUUAGACUUCUCCAGGGCUUUAGGAAGUUCACUCCUCUUGGUAUUUAGGUGUAGGAUGAAAGCAGCUUUUGCGGGGGAUAUGUUAAACCACAGCAGGCUCCCUCUGCUAAUGCUGCGAGGAGAAAGAAGAGCUAGAUUCCUCGAACUUCCCUCUUCCUCGUGUCCCCCAUGCCAUGGGCACGGUGCGUGCCUCAGAAACAGGCACUGGGGACAAGCCAGGCGGAGAACAAUAUCAGCUGCAUGGCUCCUAAUAAAAAGAACCCACGAGGAGAAGAUGGGAAAUGCUCU